AUUGAACGCUGGCGGCAUGCCUUACACAUGCAAGUCGAACGGUAACGGGCCUUCGGGUGCCGACGAGUGGCGAACGGGUGAGUAAUACAUCGGAACGUGCCCGAUCGCGGGGGAUAACGAGGCGAAAGCUUUGCUAAUACCGCAUACGAUCUACGGAUGAAAGCAGGGGACAGCAAGGCCUUGCGCGGCAGGAGCGGCCGAUGGCAGAUUAGGUAGUUGGUGGGAUAAAAGCUUACCAAGCCGACGACCGUUAGCUGGUCUGAGAGGAUGAUCCGCCACACUGGGACUGAGACACGGCCCAGACUCCUACGGGAGGCAGCAGUGGGGAAUUUUGGACAAUGGGCGCAAGCCUGAUCCAGCCAUGCCGCGUGCAGGAUGAAGGCCUUCGGGUUGUAAACUGCUUUUGUACGGAACGAAAAGCCUUCUUUUAAUACAGGAGGGUCAUGACGGUACCGUAAGAAUAAGCACCGGCUAACUACGUG
rnacentral:rRNA from 1 species